rnacentral:misc_RNA from 1 species
AAUUCUCAACUCUCUAGUUUUCUUUCUUGGAGAACUGGUAGGGCUUGGAUUUGGAGGGUUGCUGGCCUCUCUGAGGCUUGGCUCCUCUUAAAUGUAUUAGCAGAACCUUUGCUGAACCUUUGGUGUGAUAAUUAUCUACAUCAUUACAGGCUGAAGCAUUUUGAGGAUCUGCUUCUAACUGUCUUGCUACAAGACAAUUUAUGACA